CAUUGUUGUACAAUGCAAAGGUAGAGAAGAAGAAGCUUAUGGAAUGUCUGCAAGAUAGGUCGCCAAAUUUAUAGGCUUGAGAAAGAGUAAAGGAUCAGAAUAUUUGUCUGCGGAUCACUUGCUCUGUUUGGUUAAUCACAAAUGAAGAAACGGUAAGAUUCAAAGCAAAAAUUCUAUGGAACAUUCAGAAUUUCAAAUUCUUAUGCCUAAUAGUUUCGAUAUUGAUAUUUAUAAUGUGCUGAUAUAGAAAGUAAGUCGAGUCGAUAUUAUUAAUAUUCAUCUUUGUUGAGGUUUUGUGCAUGAGGUAAAUAAGAUUGAUUGAUAAUCUUUGUUUUGAAUAAGGAUGUAUGCAUGGUUUGCUUACAUUAACUCCCGGUUUUGAGCUAAACUGGAUUGUUCGGGUUGUAAAUAUCUUUGAUGAUUAUCGGGAUCUGAUAUUUAGGUUGGGGUUAAUAUUUUAGGAUCUAUCGUGAUAUAUGUAAUUGAAAACAAUAUUCUCAAUAUUUGUUUGGUUCUCUUUAUGAUGAAA